rnacentral:rRNA from 1 species
AGAUUGAACGCUGGCGGCAGGCCUAACACAUGCAAGUCGAGCGGUAGAGAGGUGCUUGCAUCUCUUGAGAGCGGCGGACGGGUGAGUAAUGCCUAGGAAUCUGCCUAGUGGUGGGGGAUAACGUUCGGAAACGGACGCUAAUACCGCAUACGUCCUACGGGAGAAAGCGGGGGACCUUCGGGCCUCGCGCCAUUAGAUGAGCCUAGGUCGGAUUAGCUAGUUGGUGAGGUAAUGGCUCACCAAGGCGACGAUCCGUAACUGGUCUGAGAGGAUGAUCAGUCACACUGGAACUGAGACACGGUCCAGACUCCGUACGGGAGGCAGCAGUGGGAAUAGUUGGACAAGUGGGACGAAAGCCUAGAUCCAGCCAUCGCCGCGUGUGUGAAGUAAGGUCGUUCGGAUUAGUAAAG